CCUCACGUUCUCCUCUCCUCCACCAACUGGACUGGCCACCAUCGGCGCCCUCCCUUCCCGCCCUCCUCUGCACCCACCGGCAGCCCAUGUUGUGAUCAAAGGAUCCCUGCUACACGACGAUAGAUGAGCCGCCGUCGUUCCUCUGUGCAGCCUUGCACACUCCAAGCCGUUGGUGCCUUUCAUCCGUGCCGGCACUCCCACGCCGCCGCGCGCAUCCUACAGCUCAGAUGGGGACGACGAGCCAGAGUUCUACAUAUUGCAAGUUGAACACCUAAAUAAGUACGAAUGGAAGCUGAACUUGGUGGGAAAUGGAAGAUGCAGUGACCGGAUUAUAGUGAUUCAGUGUUUCUGAGAACCAAGCGCAACCUUUUCCACUGCCAGAGUUUAUCACUAAUUCAUGAAGGAAUUUGAAAUUUUACAUGAGUGUUUGUGCAACUGGAGUGGCACGGCAGAACAAUGUGGACCUCUUCUAUGUGGUAAUGCUUUAACGCACCCUUAAUGAAGACGGGGCUCAUUGCUAGGAUUUUUCUCUAUUGUUGUAGAAUUGUAGAACUUUCAAAUGCAAUGUGUUAUUUCUCAAACAAAUAAGUAGCAUUUGUGCUGAUAAUAUUCAAGGGAACACCUAUCGUAGAAUCCUU